CUGUUACACAAGCAAAGCUGUCAGCUGGCUUGCACACCAGGAUAAUGCAAUGUAGUGAUAAUUGGAAACUCCUAUUGCAGAAGCAAAUGUUGGAGAAGACCUGCUCUCAUCACUUUCACGAGAUGACAUCAAAGAUCUGUUUCCUGGUCCUGAACAUUUCCUCAGACGUCGGGCUCUAUGGCUUCCAGUGCACAAAUGUGAAGAAAACAAGACUGCUGUUGAAAAAACGCUAACAACCACUGGAGAUGGUGACUUCUCCAGAGAGGAACCCAGCACUUCUAAGUUUGUAACUAUGUCCAACCCAGAGUACAUAGUCUUCACAGACAGUGAACUUGAGCAAGCUCGACGUUCCUACUUUGAACAGAAGCAGCUGGGGACAGAGUGUGCUGAACCUUUGUGAAAGGAACUCUUUUGUCGACUCGUAAGAAACAUCAUGACAAACAUGAUUUCGAUAGCAAGAGCAGCUGAGGACUCCAAAUAUCCCAGCAAACAUGAGGUUGGUGCCUAACAAAGCAAUUGAUGGAGUACUACCCAAUGCUUAAAGAAACGUGGGGUGACUGGGGGCAUGUUGCUAAAAAGCUAAUGAAGAGACUCUCCAAUGUUAAAAGUCCAAGGAAGGGCAAAAAACCUCCUUCAAAGAAGCCAAGAAAGGAUGGGAAUGAAAGCGUUGCAAUAAGUGACAGCAGUGAGGAGUCCAGUGCAUCAACUAUUAUUCUAGAUAAAUCACCAGUUAGAUCGAUGGGCAUCCCACUGCACCACCAGGAUGGCAUUGAUGAAGAAUAUAAGUAUGAUUUAAUGCACCCUCUUAAUACACCUUGAGUGUAUAUGUGGUUUAAAGGAUACUUUUUUUAUUUUCUUAAAAAUUCCGCUAACAAUAGAACCCAUCUACUUCAUUGUUUAUGUUGGAAUCUUUGCGUUCCAUUUAAUAGUGACAACUUGUGUUAAGGUUCACAUAAUUGAGGAAGGACAGUAUAAACAACCAGGUCCAGAAGAUCUUGGUCAAACAAUUGAUUUUAAUGAAUACACGCGUGGGAAGACCACUCUGUAUGCAGACAAGGAUUAAUCUUCAACUUAAUCAAAGCAUAAGCAGAUAUUUAUGUCAUCAGGGUUUGAAUUAAUGACGCCCCUUCAUACAUCACAGACAGAAUAUAUACAUACAUCAAAUCAAAACCACAAUGACUUUUAACACAAUUUCUUCAUCUUCAUGGCAGGUGCAUCCUGUCACUGCUGGAUGCUCGCUUAUCAUCUUGACACAUCAGCAGCAGUUCUGCGACGAACUGCUCUUUUUGCAACCCCAAGCAAAACAUGAUUAAACUUCCACCUAUAAAUGAUUCUCUCUAACUAAGUGUGUGUGUGCGUCUAUGUCGUCCUCAAAUGCUCUCUCAUCUCACCCGUUGCACUUCUAACCUUUCACCAGAACAGAGGCUCAUCCUUAUGUGUAAUAACCGAACUGAAACUACAUGUACUAUGUUGAAUAAAUGUUUUAAUCAAGAACCUCUAUAAAAGCUUAAUAAAAGAAUAUAAAAGUAUAACAGACAAUUUGAAUAACCUAAUAAUUCAAAUAGCCUCGUCUAACCUGCUCCUCAGAAUAACUUAGACUCUGCAACUUCCUGUCAACUCCUGCAACUUAGUCUUUCUGAAAGACACACACACUGUUUAAACCUCUGAAUGCAAUAUCAAUGCUUCAGAUUAUAUUAUUAAUGCAAUAGUAAUGAUGAUGAUUAUUUAACAAUAGCAGUAAAAUAAUUUCCCUGCUCCACACUUGACAGGAUGAAUGAACAAUUUGAGGAUAGGUGGUUAGUUAAUUUGUUGAUCUAAUUUACAGAUAUAUUUUUGGUGUUUUUGUUUUGUUUUGCACCAAUAACAGAUAUAUAAAGCCUUACUGUUGCAAUAAAUAAUUUACACACCUCUGCUCUGUGUGUUUAGCUGGUUCAGCUGACUUCUUUGACAGCCAAAAAACUCAGGCAAGACACUACAAGACUCUCCAAGAUAUAUAAAAGACCCCAAAACCAAACCAAUGCUGUAAAGGAGCAGGACAGAGCAGUGAAGAUACUAGAGGCAUACCUUUGUUUCAGAGAUCUGGAUCAUGUCCUUGAUGACCUGCAGAGAAUUAUUCAACCAUCCAACUCGAAAUACAUUUCUGAGAUGAAGGAUAGAUGGGAAAUCUUCUACUCGAAGGUGCAGUUCUAUGGUGUCAUGAAGAAAGUUAUGAAGCUGCCAAAAACUUUGAAUGGAGUGGAACAUGCAGCAGCUGUGUUCAGAGCCCUUCCAAUGCUUUUCCCUUCCAGCACAGUACCACCUAAGAAGCUGGGCGUCUGUAGUGAGGCUUUUUU